UUUAUCUACCAUCAUGCAAACCAGUAUCGUCACCGCCGCCGCCUCUAAUCAUCUCCUCUAUCCGCUACCAGCAUUGGCAGCAAGCCCAACGAUCAUCCGGCGAGAAAUGGCGAUGAAUUUGGACAAAGACGUGCCCCUCAUUUGAAUGAGAGAAUUCUGUCAUCUUUGUCUAGGAGGUCUGUUGCUGCCCAUCCAUGGCACGAUCUCGAGAUAGGGCCUUAAGCUCCAAGCGUUUUCAAUGUUAAUGAGUUUGAAAGAAAGAAACAAGAAAUAUUAGCUGCUCAAAGCGUAUCAAUUGUGGAAGGAGGAUGAGAAAGGAAUUAGAUUUGUUGAUGAAGCAUGUAUACAAGAAAUCAUCUGCAAAUGAUGAACACCAAUCUCAAGAAAAAAACCAAGCUUAUGAGGAUGAAAGUGAUGGUGACUCCGACGACGUGAAUGAAAGUGCUAAUCCUAAUAACGUGAAUGAAAAUGAUUCUGACCCUGAUGGUUGAUAGUUUUAUUGAGGAUUCAAGUUUAAAAUAUUUUGUUUGGGACCAUUUAAGAAUUUUACAUUAUUGAUGUGGAUGUUUUGAAUUAUGUUUUUUGUUAGUUGUAAGGGUUUACAUUAAAUUUGUAUUGAAUGAUGUUUUUGAGAAUUAUUGAAGGUUUUGAAUAAAUUUUUGAUUAAUUGUGAGGUGUUUCUAGUAA